AUUUGUAAAACUGUAUGUGUUGAUUUGCGCAUGCAAAUUUCAAUCAGUUAUAUUUUCUUUGAUUUCAAUUAACAUUAGUGCAAGGCAGUGCAAAGUAUCUGCUUAGAAUUCUUAUAAGAAAUGGGUGGCUGUUCAGCAGAAUUUUGUAAUAAUUCUUCAACGAAAGGCUAUGUUAUGAAAAUAUUUCCCAAAGAUCCUCAACGUCGUGCUUUAUGGGCCAAAAAUGUUAAUCGUAAAAAUUGGACGCCUACAAACAAUUCAUAUCUUUGUGAGAUACACUUUGCUCCAGAUACGUGGGAACAAAGAAUUGACGGUAAACGAAAAUUAAAAUCAAAUGCAGUUCCAACUAUAUUUGGUUUCUUUCUUAAAAAAGAAAUGUCAGUAGCAAAAAAUAAAAAUGAAGUUUUAGUAAAAAACAAUGAUGCAAACGAUAAUAUGUUAGACAAGGAUGUAGUAAACAGUGAAAACGAUGCAGUAUUGGCAAAAAGUAAUGAUGCAAAUGAUAACAUGUUAAACAAUGAUGUUUUUAAUGAUCAAUCAAUUGUUAAUAAAAAUACAGAUAUUGAAUUUGAAGAAAUUACAAACUCUUCUGAAUCUUCAUCUGUAACUGAUUUUAGCAAAAAUGAUGAAGACAAAAAACAACGAGAACAUAACAAAUUUAUAGAAACGAUUAAUCGACAACAUAUACGAAUGAUAAAGAUGAGGAGAAAAAUGAAAAGUUUGAGAACAACAAUACAUACCCUUCAAACUAAAAUUAGUAAUGAUAAAUUCAAAGUAGCUUUAAAUUCAAUUUUUAAUGAAGAUCAGAUCCGGGCUUUAUUUACGAAAAAGCGAAGUGCUCGAAAUUGGUCUGAUGAAACAAUUAAUCGUGCACUGAAAUUAAAAUCAGUGUGUGGUAAUAAUGGAUAUGAAGAACUUAUUCGGCAAGGAUAUCCAUUUCCGAGUUUACGAACGUUACGACGAAAAUUAGGAGAGUUUAAAUCUGAUUCUGAAGUUUCAAGUAAAAUGUCUGAAUCUCUAGUAGAUGAUGAACCUAAUUUUGAAACAGAUGCUGACUUUGAAUGCAAUUUGGCAUUUCAUGAUUAUACUAAAAAAUUGCCAUAACUCGUCAAUAGAAUCAAUAGAAUCCUCAAUUUAAUAGGAAACACCCAUUUAACAAAAAAAGUUGUCAGAUAAAUAUCGGCCCUAAUCUAUGUCGUUCAGUGA